rnacentral:lncRNA from 1 species
UGAAGAGGUUUUCGACACCUUGCGAAAGUACAGAAUGAAGUUGAACCCAGCAAAAUGUGCAUUUGGCAUAGCCUCGGGCAAGUUCUUGGGCUUUAUGAUCACUCACCGGGGGAUAGAGGCUAACCCCGACAAAAUAAAAGUCUUGGCAUCUAUGGAAUUACCAAGGAACAAGAAAGAGGUACAAAGGUUGACUGGUAGGAUAACAGCCUUGAACAGGUUCAUGUCUUGAGCAUCAGACAGGUGCUAUCCCUUCUUCAAAGUCCUCAGAGGAAACCAAGGCUUUGAUUGGAGUGAAGACUGUAAGAAAGCUUUUCAGGAGUUCAAGCAAACAUUGGCAUCUCCUCCUAUUCUCACUAGGCCUGAGCCUGGUGACACCUUAUUUUUGUACUUGGCCGUAUCUCAAAACGCGGUCAGUGGGGUCUUGGUGAAAGAGGUUAACAGAGUCCAACAACCCAUCUACUAUAUAAGCAAAGUCCUACUAGAUGCGGAAACAAGGUAUACUUUGGCGGAACAACUUGCCCUUGCCUUGGUGAUAGCAGCACGAAAACUCCGGCAGUGUUUUCGGUCUCACCCUAUUGUGGUGCUCACUAAUCAACCACUUAGGCAUAUACUUCACAAGCCAGACGUCUCAGGAAGACUGAUGAAAUGGGCGAUCGAGCUUGGAGAAUUUGACAUCAAAUUCAAACCACGCCUAUCUAUCAAAGCCCAAGCACUAGCCGACUUCAUUGCAGAACUAACCCCUAGGCCUCGGGGCCAGGUGACGGCUCAAGCAUGAGCACUAAUUUGGACACUUGGUAAAUUUUUGUAGAUAGAGCAUCGAACUCCUCGGGCUCAGGUGCAAGGGUCAUCAUCAUCAACCCUGACAAACAUACGGAGAUUCAAUGCGCUCUUAGGUUCGAGUUUGAAACAACCAAUAACGAGGCCGAGUAUGAGGCCGUCGUUAUUGCUCUGGAGCUAGCCCUUAGCCUUGAGCUCGAGUUCGUGAAGGUAUUCAGCAAUUCACAACUGGUGGUCGGACAAAUUGAAGGAUCAUUUGAAAGGAAAGACGAGAAAAUGAGUUUGUACUGCAUGAAGGUUCAGGAUCUUCAACGAAAAUUCAAGAGUUGUGAAAUUGCAAAAAUUGCUCGAAAGGACAACGGAAAAGUUGACACAUUAUCCAGGCUUAUGUUCAUGGGGGUUGACAGCCUGGAUAGAACAGUUUACAUAAAAGUCAUCACAGAACCCAGUAUCAAUCAAAUCCCCGACGUAAUGGACAUUGACAACGAACCGUCUUGGAUGGACCCAAUCAUAGAAUUCAUCACAAGUGGUCUACCAAGCGAUGCCAGGUUGGCUAGAAGCAUCCGAGCUCGAGCCCCUAGGUACUGCAUGAUCAGCGGUGUCCUCUUUCGCAUAAGUAUUACUCUUCCAUACCUAAGGUGCCUUAGACCAUCAGGCCCUUGCUGAACUUCAUGAAGGUGUGUGCGAAAAUCAUCAAGGAGCCAGGGCCCUGGCCUUUAAACUCAUACGAUAUGGGUACUAUUGGCCAACUAUGAAGAAAUAAGCCUCAG